rnacentral:rRNA from 3 species
GACGAGGGAUCCUAGCGUUGUUCGGAAUCAUUGGGCGUAAAGCGGGUGUAGGUGGCUUUGUAAGUCAGGUGUGAAAGCCCAGGGCUCAACCCUGGAAGUGCAUUUGAUACUGCGAAGCUUGAGUGCUGGAGAGGUAAGUAGAAUUCCUGGUGUAGUGGUGAAAUACGUAGAUAUCAGGAGGAAUACCGGAGGCGAAGGCGGCUUACCAGCCAGACACUGACACUCAGACCCGAAAGUGUGGGGAUCAAACAGG